UACGUAGGUGGCAAGCGUUGUCCGGAUUUACUGGGCGUAAAGAGCGCGCAGGCGGUCGUCCAAGUCGCGUGUGAAAGCCCACGGCUCAACCGUGGAGGGUCAUUGGAAACUGGGGAACUUGAGUGCAGAAGAGGAAAGUGGAAUUCCGGGUGUAGCGGUGGAAUGCGUAGAGAUCCGGAAGAACACCGGUGGCGAAGGCGGUUAGCUGGGCAGUUGCUGACACUGAGGCGCGACAGCGUGGGGAGCAAACAGG
rnacentral:rRNA from 1 species